UUAGGGUUUAGGGUUUGGAUUAGAGUUUAGGGUUGGAUUAGGGUUUGGAUUAGGGUUUGGAUUAGGGUUUAGGAUUUGGUUAGGGUUUGAUUUAGGAUUUGGAUUAGAGUUUGGACUAGGGUUUGGUUAGGGUUUGAUUUAAGGUUUGGUUUAGGGUUUAGGAUUUGGAUUAGAGUUUAGGGUUGGAUUAAGGUUUGGAUUAGGGUUUGGAUUAGGGUUUAGGAUUUGGUUAGGAUUUGAUUUAGGGUUUGGAUUAGGGUUUGGUUAGGAUUUGAUUUAAGGUUUGGUUUAGGAUUUAGGGUUGGAUUAGGAUUUGAUUUAGGGUUUGAUUUAGGAUUUGGUUUAGGGUUUAGGGUUUGGAAUAGGAUUUAAUUUAAGAUUUUUUUAGGAUUUGACUUAGGAUUUAGGAUUUAUUAGGGUUUAAGAUUUAAUUAGGUUUGGUCUAAAGUUGAGUGAAAUUCAAUAGGGUUUUAACUAGAAUUAAAUUAAGGUUGAAUUGACAUAUAUUUGAGUAAAAUUUGUGAUCAUUCUAAUAUUUUUUUAAGAAUUUUAUUGUUUGUUUGAAAUUUCUUUGAGUUUUUUUGAAUUUGAUUAUGUUUGUUUACCAUUAUUAUAUUCUAAUUAGAGCAUUGUUAGUAUUCUAUUUAG
rnacentral:lncRNA from 1 species